rnacentral:rRNA from 1 species
GGAAGUAAAAGUCGUAACAAGGUUUCCGUAGGUGAACCUGCGGAAGGAUCAUUAUCGAGUUUGAAAGGGGUUUGCAGCUGACUCUCCGGAGUAUGUGCUCGCCUCGCUCAUCCACUCUACACCUGUGCACUAUCUGUGGGCUUCGGCCUACGUCUUCACACAAACAAUAUGUAUCAGAAUGUAACACCGCGUCUAACGCAAUAAUACAACUUUCAACAACGGAUCUCUUGGCUCUCGCAUCGAUGAAGAACGCAGCGAAAUGCGAUAAGUAAUGUGAAUUGCAGAAUUCAGUGAAUCAUCGAAUCUUUGAACGCACCUUGCGCUCCUUGGUAUUCCGAGGAGCAUGCCUGUUUGAGCGUCGUGAAUCUCUCAACCCAUAAAUUGUUUGUUCAGUUUGUGCGGCUUGGACUUGGAGGCUUUGCUGGCGAUGUCAGCUCCUCUCAAAUGUAUUAGCUGGGCUUUGCUCGGUGGAACGGUUAGUGUGAUAAUUAUCUGCGCUGCCUAUUACAUCGGAUCCCGCUUCC